GGAGAGAAGAUGAAAUAUUUCCAUCUUCACUGACAAGGACUUCUGGCAAUUUGGAUGAAUGAUGCCAAGAGAAGAAAGCAACUGGCUUAUAAACUUCCUAAGGAAGCAAAUUUCAAAAGAAACCCCAAACAUUACGAAUCACAAGCUGCUUUGUUUUCUUAUUCAUGACCUUCAUCUACCUUCCCUUUCAUCAAGUAAAUGAAAAUGUGUCAUUCUG
rnacentral:lncRNA from 1 species